ACUUGAAACAGUUUGAUCAAACCUUCAUCUCAAGUGUUGUGAUAGAGAUAAAUAGGUUUAUCUAGUACGCGUAGUACCCGCAUCUGUAAUUGAAACUAAAAAAAAAUGUACAAGUAUUUCGAUCGCCUCGCAUAGCUGAUAUCGGGUUAAUCUAUAUAAAGAUGGAAUAAAUAUACACUUAUUUAUCAGUCAUUGUUGUACAAUCAAGCAAGCAAGAUGAGGGUGUUAAUAAUCGUAGCAACGUUGUUAGCUACGACUUUCGCUUCAGAACUAAUAUCUUCGGAUGAAGUAGAAGAUUUGUUCAGGAGAUACGCGAGAAACGACCUAAGUCCCACA